AUAUGACGUUUAAGAGGAUAAUUAUAAGAUUAAGUAAAUUUUUAGGAGAAGACACGUAUUAGACUCGACAGAGUCAUCUUCCCCCUUCAUCUUCAUCCGACCUAACCAUUCAAUCAUCGAAGAAAAGAUGGUGACUUGACGACCUUCCCGGUGAAGUUUCAUCGAGCGGGGUUUUACAGGCUUUAGUUCGGUGGAGAUUCCGACCCCUUUGAUUUGAUGACGAUUGCCUACUGUUAAUUUCAUAAUCCGAUUUGAGGUCUUGAGAUCGAGGAACCGUGAUCGACGAGUACUCUUGAUUGGACCAAGAUGAGGGUUCUCUUGCUUGACCUUUUCUGGGAAUAUGAUAAACUCGGGUAAUUGUAUCGCUCGAGUACUUGAAUUUUGCUCCCUUUCAUUGAAUUGAUCUAUUCAUUAUCAUUUGAUUAUCAUUAUUUGAGAUUGAUUGGAUGAUGUUGAGCUUGAGAUUAUUUGAGAAAUGCUAUCUUAUCGAGUAUUCAACUCUUUGAUUUCCAUUUCCUUCGAAUAGUACUUAUUGAGUGAUCGGUAUGAAAUUCUUUGAAGCCGAUCGUUUUCCUUCAAGUUUUAUUCAAUUAUCUAAACUUCACAUCUUGAAACAUCGAGCCCUCUUUGAAACCUUUCACUUGAUCCCAUUUCUUUGGAAUUCUUUUGUCUUUGAAAUCCUGAAAUAAUCAGAAUAAUAUGGUCUUCUUAUAUGAUCGAUAAAGUCCUUUUGGGACGCCUCAAGGACAAUGGAUAUUGAUGGGCCCGGGGCUGUUUGGAGGUGACCGCUGGGCCGUAUCGGGCCGACGGUGGGUAGUCUCUCCAACAGUACCCACAUAGGUUUAGACCCGUACACAACUGGAGGUUAGUUGGGUUUCGGGCUAAACCGGCAUGCGCCCGGGCAUGCCACAUUGCAUUACAGGGUCAUUCCCUGCUCGGUGAAUAAGGUAGUAAACGGCUACGGGAGUCACAAGGUAGGUGUAUUCUUAUCUCUAUUGAUCGGAAAAUUGAUUGAUCAUCCUUACUAUUAUUCUUGAAUUUCCAAUCGAUGGAUAAUCUUUAAUCGCUUCUAUUUUCCGAUAUCACCAAUUGGUUCGAUCAUCAUACUUUCUCUCAGUUCAUGUCGUAACUCGUUAUUCUUAUAUUUCACCUCACUAAGUCUUCUAUGACUUAUCCCUCUACUUUAUUCUGUCAUAUUCUCAGAGAGGUGCAGCUUGAACGAAUCAGAGGAUUUCUCGUCCGAGUAGUUACCUUGUUUAUAUUUGUAAUAUAAUGGUUCGAUUAAGUUAAGAAUAAUCGUUGUCUUGUAUUAUAAAUAUCAGCGUUUGAACUUAUUUAUGUUAUAGUAUUGUAAUCUCAUAAGCUAGAAGCUGCUGUUGUAAAUGUCCGGAACCUUUGUACUUUACCUUGCUAGAAGUGAGGUUGUUGAUAAAUAAAUCGUACGUAUUUUUGUGAA